GAUAAACGCUGGCGGCGUGCAUAACACAUGCAAGUCGAACGAUGAAGCUUAGAUGAUUUCUUCGGAAUGAACUUAAGUGGAUUAGUGGCGAACGGGUGAGUAACACGUGAGUAACCUGCCUUAUACAAGGGGAUAGCCUCUGGAAACGGAGAAUAAUACCCUAUAAAGUCUAAUCAGCACAUGCUGGAAAGACCAAAGAUUUAUCGGUGUAAGAUGGACUUGCGUCUGAUUAGCUAGUUGGUGAGAUAAAAGCUCACCAAGGCGACGAUCAGUAGCCGGCUUGAGAGAGUGUACGGCCACAUUGGGACUGAGACACGGCCCAAACUCCUACGGGAGGCAGCAGUGGGGAAUUUUGCACAAUGGGGGAAACCCUGAUGCAGCGACGCCGCGUGAUUUAGAAGGCCUUCGGGUUGUAAAAAUCUUUUUUACGGGAUGAAAAUGACAGUACCGUAAGAAUAAGGUCCGGCUAAAUACGUGCCAGCCGCCGCCGUAACAC
rnacentral:rRNA from 1 species